CCUGAUUCGUCUUUUAUUACCAAAGAAAGACUUGAAAGGCCCAGGAAAAUAAACAAAGAGUGGCAAUUGCUUUUCCGAUCUGUGUGUGCAUCUGACUGUCGCGGGCAUGAGAAUGCAGGAAGAUGCGGCAGCCGAGGAUGUGCACCGAUGGAUGAGUGCGGAGGGGAGGCCUCAGGCUGGAGGGACAGGUGUCCCAGAGAACACCCCUGGUACCAAGCCGAUGGCAGGACUGUG
rnacentral:lncRNA from 1 species